rnacentral:lncRNA from 1 species
UUUACCGAACUGUAAUCUUUAGCAGAUAGCAGUCGAUUUUAUUUCCCACCUUCCGGGUGUCAGAAUGUCAUGAAACUUUAAAUCUAGUCUCAUAAAAAUAUUUCUGACAUAUUCUCUAAUUUUCGUAAUUUUCUGACACUGUGCAUUUUCUGCUAAAAUAUCAGCCUCGUCUCUCACAGAAAAUUCUAAAUCUUCUGUUUUCGUUCCGAUUUCAGCACAAGUCAUUUCUAACUUAUAUUUUACCUCUCUAAAUUCAAUAAAAAUAGUAUCUCACACUAUUUUUAUUUAUUUGUACUUUUAUACCAAAAUCUG